rnacentral:rRNA from 1 species
AUUGAACGCUGGCGGCAUGCUUUACACAUGCAAGUCGAACGGUAACAGGCCUUCGGGUGCUGACGAGUGGCGAACGGGUGAGUAAUGCAUCGGAACGUACCCAGAGGUGGGGGAUAAUGCAGCGAAAGCUGUGCUAAUACCGCAUGUGAUCUGAGGAUGAAAGCGGGGGACCGAGCAGCGAUGUUUGGCCUCGCGCCUUUGGAGCGGCCGAUGUCGGAUUAGCUAGUUGGUGGGGUAAAGGCCUACCAAGGCGACGAUCCGUAGCUGGUCUGAGAGGACGACCAGCCACACUGGGACUGAGACACGGCCCAGACUCCUACGGGAGGCAGCAGUGGGGAAUUUUGGACAAUGGGCGCAAGCCUGAUCCAGCAAUGCCGCGUGCGGGAAGAAGGCCUUCGGGUUGUAAACCGCUUUUGGCAGGAACGAAACGGUGUCCGCUAAUACCGGGCGCUAAUGACGGUACCUGCAGAAUAAGCACCGGCUAACUACGUG